rnacentral:rRNA from 1 species
UACGUAGUGAGCAAGCGUUGUUCGGAUUUACUGGGCGUAAAGGGCGCGUAGGCGGCGUGUUAAGUCAGCUGUGAAAUCUCCAAGCUCAACUUGGAACGGCCAGCUGAUACUGAUGUGCUAGAGUGCAGAAGGGGCAACUGGAAUUCUCGGUGUAGCGGUGAAAUGCGUAGAUAUCGAGAGGAACACCUGCGGCGAAGGCGGGUUGCUGGGC